rnacentral:misc_RNA from 1 species
UUGUGGAGGAGGACGCCGAAGGUGGGGCUAAUGACUGGGGUGAAGUCGUAACAAGGUAGCCGUACCGGAAGGUGCGGCUGGAUCACCUCCUAACAGGGAGACAACAAAAUGUUAAAUAUUAAUUUUGUCACCUUAGGUCGAUCGGUAUCUCAGGUUCUUAAUUACUUUAAGAAUUUCAUUUCCUAAGUUUUUUCUAGGUCACACCCAUUACUUUCCCUGGGCCAUUAGCUCAGGUGGUUAGAGCGCACCCCUGAUAAGGGGAGGUCCCUGGUUCAAGUCCAGGAUGGCCCAUAUCUCUAUGUUGGGGGUAUAGCUCAGUUGGUAGAGCGCCUGCUUUGCAAGCAGGAUGUCAGCAGUUCGAGUCCGCUUACCUCCACUGAUUACCACCUCUUCCAUAAAUUUCAAGAAGGGAAUAGUUAUGAGCGUUGAUUUACUUCUGAACGAAUCUAGCUUCCUAAUAAAUACAUUAAGAUGCUGGACUCAUUGAAUUUUAUUCAUUGUUUUCAGAGAACCUUGACAACUGCAUAGAUUAUUUUUAAAGACAAUAAGCAUCUUUAAUGAUGCAGAUUUAUUAUUUGUGCUAAUGCAUUAAUAACAAUUCUAUUGAGCUGAUGCUUCAAUUAUUUGAAGUUAUUGGUCAAGCUACAA